AGGACGAACGCUGGCGGCGUGCUUAACACAUGCAAGUCGAACGGAAAGGCCCGCUUGCGGGUACUCGAGUGGCGAACGGGUGAGUAACACGUGGGCAACCUGCCCUCAGCUUCGGGAUAACACUUGGAAACAGGUGCUAAUACCGGAUAAUAACCUUUCAUCGCAUGGUGUGGGGUUCAAAGUUUUUCGGCUGGGGAUGGGCCCGCGGCCUAUCAGCUUGUUGGUGGGGUAAUGGCCUACCAAGGCGACGACGGGUAGCC
rnacentral:rRNA from 1 species